rfam:Felis catus isolate Cinnamon breed Abyssinian chromosome X, whole genome shotgun sequence.
GCCUGGGGGGCUCAGUCGGUUGAGCGUCUGACUUCAACUCAGGUCACGAUCUCACGGUCAGUGGGUUUGAGCCCCGCAUCGGGCU